rnacentral:misc_RNA from 1 species
AAGUCGUAACAAGGUUUCCGUAGGUGAACCUGCGGAAGGAUCAUUAACACGUAUCCAACGUUAAACAACCCUGUGAACCUUGAACGUGCUCCUGCAGCCCCAUGAAAUCAGCAAUCCCUGGUAAAUCAUUGUUGACCAGCUUUUGAGUCAGGGACCUCUGCCGAAACGGCUGUUCAGUACCCAAGCGAUCAGUGUCUGAACGUGUCAUUGAUUAUGUAAGGAUGGCGCAGUAAACGAUUGCUAGAGGCCCACGGCCGGCAACCGGGUCCCAGGGCUCACGCCCCUUUAUCACCCCACAGUUUCCCACUGGGCAGCCGAUAAUACGGACGCCGUAAAAAACUGAACAACUGUUCAAUGGAUAUCUUGGUUCUC